AAUUGUAAUGCAUUCUGCUGUCAUAUAUAAAUAAAAGAGAGAGAGAGAGAGAGACAGAGACAGAGACAGACAGAUAGACAGACACAGCGAACAAGCCUGGACCAAAUGUCCAAGUGAAUACUAUCUCAGAAGACCCUGAUUCUCUCAUGGUGUGUUACAAAGAGGGCAAACCAGUGUUAUCUGUAAGAACUGCUUUCUUGCACACGUCAGAAUAGCUGCUCAUUGAGAUGCUGAUCAUGCAAAGAACAAAGCAAACUGAUAAUAUGACUACUUCUUCGGCCUAACUUUUACACCCCAUCCCUGCAGUCACUGGCAUGGAUCUGAGCACUGUGGAAUGGAAAGAGCUUGAACCAGCUGCCGUCACUGAACAAAGCAUCAUGGGAGAAUGUAGGUGUGCUUUUCUGGUGAAGCACAGACUGGCUAUGUGAAAUGGAAGUGCAGCUGUGCAACCUGUCACCACUGGACUUUCUGGAGAAGCUUAUUACCACUGGAUCUUCCCUGAUGCGCCCUGGCAGUGCAGCCACAGGCUGCCCCCGCCAGGCCUGUCCCCAUCCAGUCCACCGAUUCACAGGCAGACCACUGCCCUGAGCCGAGUCCUCCAAGGUCUCUCCUGGGAUUUUGCAAAUUGGAACAGAGAAGCAGGACAACCUGUUGCCACAAAGCACUGACACAGGGUGUCAGAGUGGAUCUACCCAACUGCUGCCCCAGGCUUCCCAGGCCUAAAUGAUUUCAGGAAAAGAACUCAAAAUGAAGUUUGCAAUCAAAGAUGACUGGGAAGAAAUUUUAUCUUUUGGAAUCAAGGUCUUCUUGUGUUGUCCAGGAUGGUGAACUCACAGCGUUGUGGUGUAAAUUAAUCAAUAAAAUCAGUAACAGUGUAAGUUAUAGGUUAUAAAUUAGUAAAAAAAAAAUAUAUAUAUAUAUAUAGAGAGAGAGAGAGAGAUUAUAGAUAUGAUUUUGAUAAGUGAGGUAAGACAAUUAUAAAUCAAGAACUGACAUAGGAAGGCCUACGACUCCAUUUUACUGCCUUCUAUAAAACACUGUUACAAGAGCUGUUUUUGAGAAACUGAAAUGAAAACUGUUUUCUUAUUAUAUAUUGUUUUCUGUAUAUUGUACCCCACAAGUUGUACCCUACUCAGGAUGCAGCAGUGGUUGUGGUAAGCUGCAUCCUGGGUUGGAGUGCCCUCGUGGGUCUACAUGACUUUGAAAUAGACUCUUGCCCCUGCCAACCCCUGCUCAACUCAGGAUACGACUUGUCUAAUACCUGCUCGGACCCAAGAUGUGGCUAACCGAGUUGCAAAGCUGACCGCUUUUUUCCUAGCUUCUGUAAUUGGCUUCCUUGCAUGAUGCUAAGGAAAGCCCCCGAGUUGUGGUUCAUCUUUAGGUUCCCAGGACAUAGGCCAGGAAGCUACUGUUCUCCCACAGAGCUUCAAUCUCUACGGGCUCUUGUGAUCCUCCGGCCUCAACCUUCUGAGUAGCCAGGACCAUUUUGGUGUCGUACUGCACAGGGCUGUGUCAGGAUUUCCUCAAGAAAGGUCCUGUGGUUGGGAAGCAAGGCAGAGGAGCAUGAAGACCCUCGAGCACCCUGCAGCCAGCCACACUGGAAACAACCGCACACAUUAACAUGGGGUUUGGCAAACCAAUUCAGACAAAUUCAGACCACUGCUGAUUUGUGUAUUAUAUGAAUUUUUUAUAUUUUGGUUAAAAAAACAAAAAUAGUAAUUCAUAUCACAUGAAAAUUAUAUGAAAUUAGAAAGGAGAAUUACUGAGGAAUGAAAAUGAUCAAAUUAGGGGCUGGGGUUCUAUCUUAGUGGUAGAGCGCUUGCCUAGCAUGCAUGAGGCAUUGAGUUCGAUCCCCAGCACCACAUAAAAAUAAAGAAAAUAAAUUCAU